GAAUAUGAAUUUGUUUUUAUGAACCAUAAAUACGAGAAAAUCGAAAUGUGGUUUCCGACGCGAUAUGGUACAUGUCGGAAUAGAUAUAAUCGAUAAAAACCAUGAUUAAUAGUAAAAAGGGCAAAUUGGUAAUUUAGUCAUGAAUGACUAAGUUUUAAUGAGUUUUCGUUAAGGUUACCUUAUAGUGUAACUAAUAAAAGAAAUAGCGGGGUAAAAUCCGAAAUGGGUCGUAUGCGUGAAUUUGAAAUUAAAAUAUCAAGUUUUGUAAACAUCAAUAUUUGGUCAGUUAGACCACACGGGCCAAAUGGUAGUAAUAAUACCAUUUGACAAAUUCGACUAAUGUUUGGAUGGCAAGUCACUUGCUCAUAGGAACGAAUAGCAAUUUGGAUAAUUGUGUCGCGAUAAAGUUUCGGCUAAUAAAGCGAGGUAUAAAAACGGGUCUAUGCGUUGACUCGAGCCAGGUACGCGACGAAACGUUUUGUUGUUGUUAAUUGUUAAUACGUAAAUCUUAUAUAUUGAUGAUAUAUGAAAGUUUGAGAUGUAAAAAUGUUUGAUUUGUCUAUAAUAAGGAUUUAUAGACAAAUCAACGGGUUGAGCAAUAAUAGGUGCAAACCGGGUAAAUGGGUGCACAAUUCCAUAAGUGCUAAGCCCGGGGUUACGGGUAAAGAAACAUUAAACACACAAGCCGGUAGUCGAAGCGAGAAUGCGAGUAGAUUAAAGGAUUUGGGGACGGGUUGUCAAAUUGAGUAUUAAGUCCCAUGCAUAGGAAUGUGAUUGAAAUAGGAUUUAUUGCUUAUUAGCGAACUAACCUCGUGUAUGUGUUUAUACAGUUUAAAUCAAUUGAAGUAAUAAGUUACUAAACCAUUGUCUUGAGUAUGAAAUGAGAAUGCAGGUGGCGUGGACUUAGCAUCAUUACGAAGAAAAGAAGGUUUGAAGAUCGAGUCAAGAGCGAGGGUUGUACGGGAAGGAUCAGUCAUAUAAUUUGACAAAAAAAAUAUAGGUCUUGAAGUAUUAAUAUAAUGGGAAGUGGUAAAUUCCUUUUUAAUGAGUGUAUGAAUUUUUGUCUUGGAACCUUCCUGUAAGUAUUAUGUCUAGUAAAGAACGAAAUUUUUGGGCUCUUA